UACGAAGGGGGCUAGCGUUGCUCGGAUUGACUGGGCGUAAAGGGCGCGUAGGCGGUUUGUACAGUCAGACGUGAAAUUCCUGGGCUCAACCUGGGGGCUGCGUUUGAUACGUGCAGACUUGAGUUCGGAAGAGGGUCGUGGAAUUCCCAGUGUAGAGGUGAAAUCCGUAGAUAUUGGGAAGAACACCGGUGGCGAAGGCGGCGACCUGGUCCGAUACUGACGCUGAGGCGCGAAAGCGUGGGGAGCAAACAGG
rnacentral:rRNA from 1 species